UGGGGAAUAUUGCACAAUGGGCGCAAGCCUGAUGCAGCCAUGCCGCGUGUGUGAAGAAGGCCUUCGGGUUGUAAAGCACUUUCAGCGAGGAGGAAGGUGGUGAACUUAAUACGUUCAUCAAUUGACGUUACUCGCAGAAGAAGCACCGGCUAACUCCGUGCCAGCAGCCGCGGUAAUACGGAGGGUGCAAGCGUUAAUCGGAAUUACUGGGCGUAAAGCGCACGCAGGCGGUUUGUUAAGUCAGAUGUGAAAUCCCCGGGCUCAACCUGGGAACUGCAUUUGAAACUGGCAAGCUAGAGUCUCGUAGAGGGGGGUAGAAUUCCAGGUGUAGCGGUGAAAUGCGUAGAGAUCUGGAGGAAUACCGGUGGCGAAGGCGGCCCCCUGGACGAAGACUGACGCUCAGGUGCGAAAGCGUGGGGCAGCAAACAGGAUUAGAUACCCUGGUAGUCCACGCUGUAAACGAUGUCGAUUUGGAGGUUGUGCCC
rnacentral:rRNA from 1 species